CCUACGGGUGGCAGCAGUGAGGAAUAUUGGUCAAUGGACGCAAGUCUGAACCAGCCAUGCCGCGUGCAGGAAGACGGCUCUAUGAGUUGUAAACUGCUUUUGUACGAGAGUAAACUCAGAUACGCGUAUCUUUCUGAACGUAUCUUACGAAUAAGGAUCGGCUAACUCCGUGCCAGCAGCCGCGGUAAUACGGAGGAUUCAAGCGUUAUCCGGAUUUAUUGGGUUUAAAGGGUGCGUAGGCGGGCGGAUAAGUUAGAGGUGAAAUCCUGAGGCUCAACUUCGGAAUUGCAUUUGAUACUGUUAGGCUAGAGAGUAGUUGCGGUAGGCGGAAUGUAUGGUGUAGCGGUGAAAUGCUUAGAGAUCAUACAGAACACCGAUUGCGAAGGCAGCUUACCAAGCUACGUCUGACGUUGAGGCACGAAAGCGUGGGGAGCAAACAGGAUUAGAUACCCCUGUAGUC
rnacentral:rRNA from 1 species